CCCCAGUCCAGGAAAGUUAAUCAGAAUCACUUGGAUAUAGGUAGUUUCGAAAGCUCCCCAGGUGAUCCUCAUGUAUUGCCACAGCUGAGAAUCAUUGCCUCUGUUAGUUGCUCUGCCCAUCUAAUUGAAAUAGAUUCUCUCAGGUGUCGCUGAAUAAGGACCAGGUUUACUUAAGCUCACCAUUUCUGUAGAAAUUUAGAUUCUGGUAACCACUAUCAGGAGAUCUGUAUUAGGUCAGUUCACUCAACCCUGGCUUUCCUAUUUCAGCUUCCUUUGCAACUCUGUCAGUGGAAGACAAGUUGGGGUAGACAGGGUACAAGGACAGCAUGGAAGAAAGAAAAAAAUGCAUCCCAUUUUUUGUUAUUUUCUCAACAGUCUCUGAAAGAAAAGAAAAAGAAGUGUAGCUCUCUGUAUCCGACAAAAUGGCGCAUAAUCAUCUGUGAAAAUUGGAGAGUGUGCUCCUCUUACUUAUAAAAAAAAUAGUGAACUGUAAAACAGCCUCAGGCAUGUCCUUCAGGAGGAUUCCAGAAUAAGGCAUUGUUAUCAUAGGAGAUGACAGUUCCAUGCAUGUUAUUGCCCCUGAAGACUUUCCAGUGGGACAAGAUGUGGAGAUGAAGACAGUGAUACUGAUGGUCCUGACCCUGUGUAGGCCUUGGGUCUGCAUGCUUCUCAAAUUGAGCUGUAACACUCACUGCUGCGGUCCAAGCCUUCAUUCUUUGAAGCCCGUGGAACCACAAACUCUUCAAUUGAUAAAAACCUUCGAUCGGAAGAGACUUCUCAUCUCAUUUCUGGGGGCCUGUCCGGGAUUUCUCUGAAGUGAAUAGAAUCCAUGAAACUGCAAGUGGUUCUACAAAUGGAGCCCCAAAUGACCACCACUAGCACCUACUAUCGAGGACCCCUAGACUGACCUACCAACCUGUUCUAACACCACGACACUGAAGAAGACUCCCCUCCUGAGGAACCCUCAACUGCAGAUCCCCUUCUGUGCCCCAGUUCAGCAGGAAGUAGCUAGAAUGAUCAUUGCCCAACUUCUCAACAGCACUUGGGCUUUCCUGUUGAGAGGGGGUACUGAGGCACUAAGUGGCUAAGUUAGCUAGACUUCCUGGGUCAACAGGGACUUCCCUAAGGGGACAUUCCUCUAAGCCAAAAUGAGUCAUAGCUGCAAGCUAAGGGAUUGAAACUUCAACCAAUCAAAGGGGACUUUCUCCUAAGCAAAAAUGAGUCACUGCUGCAAACUAAGUGAUUGAAACUUCACCCAAUCAUAUAGGGAGUUUAAGCUUUAGCUGCAGCCUGAUGUUUUUAACCAAUCAGGCCUGCCAACCCACAAGCAGAUAGAAAAUAAGCUAAUCCUAUGGGACAGAAAAAGGAAAAGGGGAGGAGUCAUAAGAGGAUAUAAGCAUAAGACACCCAAGCCAGAAACGGAAACCCUUCCGGGUCUCCUUCCACCACGUGGAAGCUUUACUUUUGCUUUUACUUUACUUUCACUUUAAUAAACCUUGGCGCUGCACACUCUUUGGGUCUGUACGUUUCUCUAAUUGAGCUGUAACACUCGCCGCUGUGGUCCACGGCUUCAUUCCUUGAAGCCUGUGAGACCACGAACCCUUCAAUUGAGAAAAACCUUCAAUCAGAAGAAGACUUCUUGUCUCAAUAUCACUUCCUUCGAAAACAUAAUUCAAGAGUUAUUCACAUCAUAGUUAUUUUUCACUCCCCGCUAAUAGCAGGAGUCACUUCCAAUAUACUAGAAUUUCAAAAAGGAACUGUAACUUAUAGUUUACAGUCAGUGUUUGUUUGAAAUGUAAAGCCUGACCAUUCAACUGCCAUGAUUGAAGCACUCUGAAAGACUUCCAUGGCCUUAGGAUAAAGUUCAUCCUCCUUUACAAGGAGCACAAGACCCUUAGAAUUCCAGACCCUGAUUUAGUCUUCAUCUUAUACGAAUGCUGCCCGGCAUGCUUCAUUUAGUUCUGCAAUAAACAGAGCAUACAGCAUGGUUGUGGAUCUCACUAGAGACCCAAAGAAAACAUCCCACAGGAAAUGAUGAAAAAUAAUAAGAGCAUUAUAUGUAUUGGAGCGUGGACCAGGCAGUUGAAGUGGAAAACACA
rnacentral:lncRNA from 1 species